UCGUAACGAUGAAGCCCUUUCGGGGGUGGAUUAGUGGCGAACGGGUGAGUAACACGUGGGCAAUCUGCCCUGCACUUCGGGACAAGCCCUGGAAACGGGGUCUAAUACCGGAUACAACUCCCUUGGGCAUCUUUGGGGGUGGAAAGCUUCGGUGGUGCAGGAUGAGCCCGCGGCCUAUCAGCUUGUUGGUGGGGUGAUGGCCUACCAAGGCGACGACGGGUAGCCGGCCUGAGAGGGCGACCGGCCACACUGGGACUGAGACACGGCCCAGACUCCUACGGGAGGCAGCAGUGGGGAAUAUUGCACAAUGGGCGGAAGCCUGAUGCAGCGACGCCGCGUGAGGGAUGACGGCCUUCGGGUUGUAAACCUCUUUCAGCAGGGAAGAAGCGAGAGUGACGGUACCUGCAGAAGAAGCACCGGCUAACUACGUGCCAGCAGCCGCGGUAAUACGUAGGGUGCGAGCGUUGUCCGGAAUUAUUGGGCGUAAAGAGCUCGUAGGCGGCCUGUCACGUCGGAUGUGAAAGCCCGGGGCUUAACCCUGGGUCUGCAUUCGAUACGGGCAGGCUAGAGUUCGGUAGGGGAGAUCGGAAUUCCUGGUGUAGCGGUGAAAUGCGCAGAUAUCAGGAGGAACACCGGUGGCGAAGGCGGAUCUCUGGGCCGAUACUGACGCUGAGGAGCGAAAGCAUGGGGAGCGAACAGGAUUA
rnacentral:rRNA from 1 species